CAACCUCAACUCAUAUGGGACUACCCCCUGAAUUUAAGCAUAUUAAUUAGGGGAGGAAAAGAAACUAACAAGGAUUUUCUUAGUAGCGGCGAGCGAAAAGAAAUCAGAUCAGCACUAAGUCACUAAAUCUAUAUGGCAAAUGUGAGAUGCAGAAUACGGAACAUCAACAUUCUAGUAUGAGAAGUUAACGAUUUAAGUCCUUCUUAAAUGAGGCCAUUUACCCAUAGAGGGUGCCAGGCCCGUAUAACGUUAAUGAUUACUAGAUGGUGUUUCCAAAGAGUCGUGUUGCUUGAUAGUGCAGCACUAAGUGGGUGGUAAACUCCAUCUAAAACUAAAUAUAACCAUGAGACCGAUAGUAAACAAGUACCGUGAGGGAAAGUUGAAAAGAACUCUGAAUAGAGAGUUAAAUAGUACGUGAAACUGCUUAGAGGUUAAGCCCGAUGAACCUCUUUUUUACGUUAUGGAAAAUUCAUCAUUAGAAUUGUAAUAUUUUUUUUACCGUAUUAUAAUAAUAGUGUGCAUUUU
rnacentral:ncRNA from 1 species